rnacentral:misc_RNA from 1 species
AACGGGGGGUGCUAGUGCUAUUCUACAUAACUGGGCGUAUAGGGUGUGUAGGCGGCAAAAAAAGUUGCGUGCGAAUAACUUAGGGAGUUCUAUGGGAAACGCAAAACUUUUUUGCUCGAGUCGUUUUGGGAGGUGGUGGAAUCAUUUAAUCAUAGGGCUGAAGUACGUUCGAAAUUAGUGGGAACGCUUGUAGCGAAGGCAUCCACCUACGAUCGACUGACGCUGAGGCACAAAAGCGUGGGGAACAAAUGGG